rnacentral:rRNA from 1 species
AGUAGUUUGAUCAGUGGCUCGAGGACGAACGCUGGCGGCGUGCUUAACACAUGCAAGUCGAACGGAACCUUCGGGUUUAGUGGCGAACGGGUGAGUAAAGCGCAGGUAAUCUGCCGCAAAGUCGGGGACAACGUUCCGAAAGGGACGCUAAUACCGGAUGUUGUGCAGUUGUCGCAUGACAGUUGCACUAAAGAUUUAUCGCUUUGCGAGGAGCCUGCGUCCGAUUAGGCAGUUGGUGUGGUAAAGGCGCACCAAACCGACGAUCGGUAGCCGGUCUGAGAGGAUGAACGGCCACAAUGGAACUGAGACACGGUCCAUACUCC